GAGCGCGGGAAGCUCCAUGCACUCGUGCUGCUCCUCCACCGGUGCUGCUCCUUGUCGCCUUUCCUCAGUCGCGGAGCUUCGAUAGGUAAAGGAAAAAAUGCCUGCUACAAAGAAGCCGAUGAGAUAUGGGCACACAGAGGGACACACAGAUGUCUGUUUUGAUGAUUCUGGGAGUUGUAUUGUAACUUGUGGAAGUGAUGGUGAUGUGAGGAUUUGGGAAGACUUGGAUGAUGAUGAUCCUAAGUCCAUUAAUGUUGGAGAAAAAGCAUAUUCAUGCGCUUUGAAGAAUGGGAAAUUGGUCACUGCAGCAUCUAACAAUACUGUUCAAGUGCACACGUUUCCUGAAGGAGUUCCAGAUGGUAUAUUGACUCGCUUCACCACAAAUGCAAACCAUGUGGUCUUUAAUGGGGAUGGUGCAAAAAUUGCUGCUGGAUCUAGUGAUUUUCUAGUCAAAGUUGUGGAUGUGGCGGAUUGCAGCCAACAGAAAACAUUUCGAGGACACGAUGCCCCUGUUUUAAGUCUUUCCUUUGACCCUAAGGACAUCUUUCUGGCAUCAGCUAGUUGUGAUGGAUCUGUAAAGGUGUGGCAAAUUUCAGAUCAGACAUGUGCUAUCAGUUGGCCACUGCUGCAAAAAUGCAAUGAUGUGAUAAAUGCAAAAUCAAUCUGCAGACUUGCUUGGCAGCCAAAAGGUGGGAAGUUACUAGCAGUUCCUGUGGAAAAAUCUGUUAAGCUAUAUAGAAGAGAAACUUGGAGUAAUCAAUUUGAUCUUUCAGAUAAUUUCAUCUCUCAGACCCUAAAUAUAGUAACCUGGUCUCCUUGUGGACAAUAUUUAGCUGCAGGGAGUAUUAAUGGUUUAAUUAUAGUUUGGAAUGUGGAAACCAAAGAUUGCAUGGAAAGGGUGAAACAUGAGAAAGGUUAUGCAAUUUGUGGCCUGUCAUGGCAUCCUACUUGUGGUCAAAUAGCUUAUACUGAUGCAGAAGGAAAUCUGGGAGUCCUGGAGAAUGUUUGUGACCCCAGUGGAAAGAUGUCAAGCAGUAAGGUAUCUAGCAGAGUAGAAAAGGAUUAUAAUGAUCUUUUUGAUGGAGAAGAUACAAGUAGUGCUGGUGAUUUUCUAAAUGACAAUGCAGUCGAAACCCGCUCUUUUUCAAAACGGAUUAUAAAUGAUGAGGAAGAUGAUGAUGACCUCAUGCUGGCUUCAGGUCGUCCUAGACAGCGAAGUCAUAUCCUAGAAGAUGAUGAAAACUCAGUUGAUGUUACAAUGAUAAAAACUGGUUCUGGUUUUCUCAAAGAAGAGGAGGAGGAUGAUCAGGCAGGCAGCAUUCACAAUCUACCAGUUGUAACAUCCCAAAGGCCAUUUUAUGAUGGUCCUAUGCCAACGCCCCGGCAAAAGCCAUUCCAGUCAGGUUCUACACCCUUGCAUCUCACUCACAGAUUCAUGGUGUGGAACUCUAUUGGAAUUAUUCGCUGCUAUAAUGAUGAGCAAGACAAUGCCAUAGAUGUGGAGUUCCAUGAUACCUCCAUACACCAUGCAACACACUUAGCAAACACUUUGAAUUAUACAGUAGCGGAUCUUUCCCAUGAAGCUGUUUUGUUGGCAUGUGAAAGCACUGAUGAACUAGCAAGCAAGCUUCAUUGCCUGCACUUUAGUUCAUGGGAUUCAAGCAAAGAGUGGAUAGUAGACAUGCCUCAGAAUGAAAAUAUUGAAGCCAUAUGUCUUGGUCAGGGAUGGGCUGCUGCUGCCACUAGCACCUUGCUCCUUCGCUUGUUUACCAUUGGAGGUGUUCAGAAAGAGGUCUUCAGUCUCCCUGGGCCUGUUGUGUCAGUGGCAGGACAUGGAGAACAGCUUGUCAUUGUUUAUCACAGAGGUACAGGAUUUGAUGGGGAUCAGUGCCUUGGAGUUCAACUGCUGGAGCUGGGCAAAAAGAAAAAACAAAUUUUACAUGGUGAUCCUCUUCCUCUUUCAAGGAAAUCCUACCUUGUAUGGCUUGGCUUUUCAGCUGAAGGUACCCCAUUUUACGUGGAUUCAGAAGGCAUUGUUCGAAUGCUUAACAGAGGACUUGGUCAUACAUGGACUCCUGUAUGUAACACAAGAGAACACUGCAAAGGAAAAUCUGAUCACUACUGGGUGGUUGGUAUCCAUGAAAAUCCCCAGCAACUGAGGUGUAUUCCUUGCAAAGGUUCCCGAUUUCCUCCCACCCUUCCACGCCCUGCUGUAGCUGUAUUACCCUUUAAGCUUCCUUACUGUCAGACUGCCACAGAGAAAGGACAAAUGGAGGAACAGUACUGGCGUUCAGUUAUGUUUCACAACCACCUUGAUUAUUUAGCUAAAAAUGGUUAUGAAUAUGAAGAGAGCACUAAAAAUCAAGCAAUAAAAGAACAACAGGAACUUUUAAUGAAAAUGCUUGCGCUUUCUUGUAAACUGGAGCGGGAAUUUCGUUGUGUGGAACUUGCUGAUCUAAUGACUCAAAAUGCUGUGAAUUUAGCCAUUAAAUAUGCUUCUCGUUCUCGGAGAUUAAUAUUGGCCCAGAGACUUAGUGAACUGGCUGUAGAGAAAGCAGCAGAAUCGGCAGCCACCCAAGCUGAAGAAGAGGAAGAAGAAGAAGAGGAUUUCAAAAAAAAGUUGAAUGCUGGUUACAGUAAUACUCCUACAGAGUGGAGUCAGCCAAGGCUCAGAAAUCAAGUUGAAGAAGAUUCAGAGGAUACUGGAGAAGCUGAUGAUAUAGAAGAAAAACCAGAAAUACAUAAACAUGGAGAAAACCCGUUUUUCAAAAGUGCAAAUUCCUCUGAUAUGCCAGCUAUUAAGUCAGGUGCAGUUACCUCUAGCAACCAAGGACGAAUAAACCCCUUCAAGGUAUCAGGCAAUUCCAAAGAGCCAUCCAUUUCAGUGAAUUCAGUACGUUCAAGUAAUAUUUUAGACAAUAUGAACAAAUCAUCCAAGAAAUCUACUGCACUUAAUCGAGCUACAAAUUAUGAAAAGUCUCCAGUUAUAAAGCCUCUGGUUCCAAAACCAAAGUCUAAGCAGGCAUCUGCAGCAUCCUUUUUCCGGAAAAGAACUUCCCAAGCUGAUAGGACUGAGGAAGUGAAAGAAGAAAAUCCUAAAAAUCCAUCAUCUGAAACCCCAGCUAUGUGUCCUCAAAACACUGAAAACCAAAGGCCAAAGACCGGGUUCCAGAUGUGGCUGGAAGAAAACAGAUGUAAUAUUUUGUCUGACAAUCCUGACUUUUCAGAUGAAGCAGACAUAAUAAAAGAAGGAAUGGUUCGAUUUAGAGUAUUGUCAACUGAAGAAAGGAAGAGAUCCCACAAAACAAUGGAAAAGAAAUGAAUAUAGAAAGUAAAUAAAUCCACAAAAUUGAUGAUGAAGUGAAAGGGAUGAGGGACAUCCAUGAAUGAGAGAAUUCAGUAAAUUUAGGAGGACAAAAAGCGAGGGAUGCCCAAUAAAGCAAGGCAGGGAAAUUAUAACCUAGGCCAGCUCUUUUCUUAACUGGCCUACUAAUCACCAAGAGAGCUCAUUAAAAUGCAGAUUAUGGUUCAAUAAGUCUAGGGUGGGGCAUGAGGUUCUGCAUCUCUAAAAAGCUCCCAGGUGAUGCCCCUGAGGCUGGUCUGGUCCGAGGACCGCCUGUUGAGUAAGUAACAAGGGAGAAUAUAUAAGGAGGGGCUAUGGCCCAGGAGGGCACAGCCUGCCCUGUGGAACAUGAGAGAGGCUUCCGAUCAGGGCAGGAGUGAGGCGUGGGGCUGGAGCCAAGGAGAUUAAGUCUAUAUUUCAAGGGUUGAGAACCCAUUACCAUAGGGUCCAGACAGGUAAAGGGAAGAAAGCUAGUACAGUUGCACCCUAGGCCAUUGCUGUAGAAUUUGAGCCCAGAGUUACCCAAUCUUACCAUUUUCAGUAGAAGACAGAAAUCUAGAAUUUGUGUGAAGUCUCCUGAAUUUGUUUCAUUUUUGGCAACUAAUUAAAAUGGAAGGCUAUUCUAAAGAAAGUGAGCAAAUUUCCUAGGGAGAACCAGAGCAGUGAGUUCUGGUAUUCCGAAGGCAGAGGUGGGGGGCUGAGGGGGAGGCGGAGGGUAAGGGAGUGGUGUUCCUGAUGCUCACAAAGACUGAGAAGGAAGGAAUAAGCCAGAGACAAAACACAGAUGCCAAGACAAUGACUGAUCAGCUAGUAGCCAGGAGUUGGAAAAUCACAAAGAUACGAUCCAGGGAUUUGGUGGAGGUAAAAGGUAGAAUCCCACUUCAGUUUGAUGCAGGGAACUUCUCCACUAAGUGACCAGCGGUCAUGAUCCCGCCCUGUGGAGAAGGACUCCUAGCAUGCUACUUACUUGGUCACAUCGUCAUGGAAAUAUCAUACCACUGAAUUGGGCAAGAAAUUACAGAACACUAAUGAAA